GAUGAACGCUAGCGGGAGGCCUAAUACAUGCAAGUCGAACGGUAAGGUCCUUCGGGAGUACACGAGUGGCAAACGGGUAGCGUAACGCGUACGGAACAUGCCUCUAUCAGAGAGAUAGCCCUGGGAAACUGGGUAUAAUACCUCAUAGUAUUGUAUUGCCGCAUGGUAUUUACAAUUAAAGCUCCGGCGGAUAGAGAUUGUCGUGCGUCCCAUUAGCUAGUUGGUAAGGUAACGGCUUACCAAGGCGACGAUGGGUAACUGGUUUGAGAGGAUGAUCAGUCACACUGGAACUGAGACACGGUCCAGACUCCUACGGGAGGCAGCAGUAGGGAAUAUUGGACAAUGGACGCAAGUCUGAUCCAGCCAUCCCGCGUGCAGGAUUAAGGCCCUCUGGGUUGUAAACUGCUUUUAUUAGAGAAGAAACCUCAGAUUUAUCUGAACUUGACGGUAUCUAAUGAAUAAGCACCGGCUAACUCCGUGCCAGCAGCCGCGGUAAUU
rnacentral:rRNA from 1 species